GACGAACGCUGGCGGCGCGCUUAACACAUGCCAGUCGAACGGAAAGGCCUGCUUUCCCUUGUGGAUUGCGGGUACUCGAGUGGCGAACGGGUGAGUAACACGUGAGUGAUCUGCCCCCAACUUGGGUAUAAGCCUGGGAAACUGGGUCUAAUUCCCGAUAGGACUGCAGGGUGGUGCCUGUGGUGGAAAACGAUUUUCUAGUGGUUGGGGAUGAGCUCGCGGCCUAUCAGCUUGUUGGUGGGGUAAUGGCCUACCAAGGCGGCGACGGGUAGCCGGCCUGAGAGGGUGGACGGCCACAUUGGGACUGAGAUACGGCCCAGACGCCUGCGGGAGGCAGCAGUGGGGAAUAUUGCACAGUGGGCGGAAGCCUGAUGCAGCGACGCCGCGUGGGGGAUGACGGCCUUCGGGUUGUAAACUCCUUUCGACCGCGAGGAAGCCACCUGGUUGGAAGGGUGGUGACGGUAGUGGUAGAAGAAGCACCGGCUAACUACGUG
rnacentral:rRNA from 1 species